UACGGGGGGAGCAAGCGUUGUUCGGAUUUACUGGGCGUAAAAGGGCGCGUAGGCGGUCAGCACAAGUCAGUUGUGAAAUCUCCGGGCUUAACUCGGAAAGGUCAACUGAUACUGUGCGACUAGAGUGCAGAAGGGGCAACUGGAAUUCUCGGUGUAGCGGUGAAAUGCGUAGAUAUCGAGAGGAACACCUGCGGCGAAGGCGGGUUGCUGGGCUGACACUGACGCUGAUGCGCGAAAGCCAGGGAGCGAACGGG
rnacentral:rRNA from 1 species